rnacentral:rRNA from 1 species
GCAAGUCGAACGAAGCGCCUUUGAACAAGUUUUCGGACAAGGGAUAAGGUUGCUUAGUGGCGGACGGGUGAGUAACGCGUGAGUAACCUACCUUGGAGAGGGGAAUAACACAGCGAAAGCUGUGCUAAUACCGCAUGAUGCAACGGGAUCACAUGGUCCUGUUGCCAAAGAUUUAUCGCUCUGAGAUGGACUCGCGUCUGAUUAGCUAGUUGGUGAGGUAGUGGCUCACCAAGGCGACGAUCAGUAGCCGGACUGAGAGGUUGAAC